GAACACUUUUAAGAACCACGAGGAGCUAGAGGUGGUAGGAAAAGGCUCUGUGUUCGGCAGAAAGACCACCAUCUACCAUGGUUACUGGGAAUCAAGUUGUAGCACUGCCAUUCACUAGAGUGUGACCUUGGACAAGUCACUUAAAAUUCUUUUAUCCUGUGUUCUUUACCUCACAAUGGGGACAUUCUAAUGCCCAUUUUCAAGCAUGGGCCUGUGUAUCAGAUGAGGUCACAUACAUGGAAGCUCUGUAAGGCGUACACUGCUCUAAUAGAGCAAGGGUUGUCCCGCUUCCUAAUAGACAUAAAUUACAGUGCUGUCUCCAGUGGAUUUAGACUUUUCCACAAUGCUGUGCCUAGGUAUGUGUGAGAACACCAGGAAACCCUUAAGACUCACCUCACCCUGUGUGUACUUUUUGCCCCUCUUAAUUGAACUGUAGAAAACUGGCAUUGUAAACUUAGACACAUCUCCAUUUCCAGAUGUACAGAGUCCAAGGCUUUACACAAAUUGCACAUUUCCUUUGUAUUUCAAGAGUCUUAAAUCACAACAGAUCACAGUUUCUGAAGGGAACUCUGUUGGUGAAGAAUAAUCUUCUAUGAACUUGCUGGUGACCGGCUCUCACAUUACAAGAGUUGGCGGUUAAAACUGACGUGGAGAGUUUCUUGUACUGAUCUGGCAACGCUUUCUGCAAAAUACCAUCACAUCUCCCUUCAGCCCCAGAACUUCUGGCUGCUACGUUUUGUCUUAUCCCUCUGAUGUAUUUAAUCCCAAGUGUGACAUAAUUACAUCAUCAAUGAACUCUUUUUAAUUAACUGGCUGAGGGUAAACAUAAUUGAACUCAACUGUUUCAUAUUUUGAAGGGUGUGUACUUUUAUUUCUGCAUGAUUGUACUGGGGCAAGU
rnacentral:lncRNA from 10 species